rnacentral:rRNA from 1 species
CGAAUGUAUGGGGAUCUGCCCGAUAGAGGGGGAUAACUACUGGAAACGGUGGCUAAUACCGCAUAAUGUCUACGGACCAAAGCAGGGGCUCUUCGGACCUUGCACUAUCGGAUGAACCCAUAUGGGAUUAGCUAGUAGGUGGGGUAAAGGCUCACCUAGGCGACGAUCUCUAGCUGGUCUGAGAGGAUGAUCAGCCACACUGGGACUGAGACACGGCCCAG